rnacentral:rRNA from 1 species
UACGAAGGGGGCUAGCGUUGCUCGGAAUGACUGGGCGUAAAGGGCGCGUAGGCGGAUGGCACAGUCAGAUGUGAAAUUCCCGGGCUUAACCUGGGGGCUGCAUUUGAUACGUGUUGUCUUGAGUUCGGAAGAGGGUCGUAGAAUUCCCAGUGUAGAGGUGAAAUGCGCAGAUAUCGGGAAGAACACCCGUGGCGAAGGCGGCUCUCUGGGACGGUACUGACGCUGAGACGCGAAAGCGUGGGGAGCGAACAGG